UUGAAGAGUUUGAUCAUGGCUCAGAUUGAACGCUGGCGGCAGGCCUAACACAUGCAAGUCGAACGGUAGCAGGAAGUGCUUGCACUUCGCUGACGAGUGGCGGACGGGUGAGUAAUACUUGGGAAUGUGCCUUUACGUGGGGGAUAACUAUUGGAAACGAUAGCUAAUACCGCAUAACGUCUACGGACCAAAGGGGGCUUCGGCUCUCGCGUAAAGAGCAGCCCAAGCGAGAUUAGCUAGUUGGUGUGGUAAAGGCGCACCAAGGCGACGAUCUCUAGCUGUUCUGAGAGGAAGAUCAGCCACACUGGGACUGAGACACGGCCCAGACUCCUACGGGAGGCAGCAGUGGGGAAUAUUGCACAAUGGGGGAAACCCUGAUGCAGCCAUGCCGCGUGUGUGAAGAAGGCCUUCGGGUUGUAAAGCACUUUCAGUCGUGAGGAAAGGGAUACGGUUAAUACCCGUAUUCUGUGACGUUAGCGACAGAAGAAGCACCGGCUAACUCCGUGCCAGCAGCCGCGGUAA
rnacentral:rRNA from 1 species